rnacentral:lncRNA from 1 species
GAACAUAUUUUGGCAGACAAAGUUUCUGGAUGCCAAAGACCAAGAUUGAGGAAUGUUAGUGACAAGAAAUGAAUUUUAUGGAACCUUGUAUUCUGUUGAGUAACAGAAUUAUAUCAGCAAUCCCAAAGUCACCAAAUGGGCAUCAUCAUGACAGCAGGUGGGUGGAAUACAACAUACAUAUAUAUGUAUAUAUGAUGGUUGGUGGUUUUGGCAGUUUCUACCUAUCUGGACCUGGACAAAAAAAUCUUUUCACACCAGAUUUUUGGCAGCUGAG